AAGUCGUAACAAGGUUUCCGUAGGUGAACCUGCGGAAGGAUCAUUAACACGUAUUCAACGUUAAACCCCCCGUGCACACAGCGACCUGCUCCCCUCAAUUUCGGUCUUUUGGCAAUCCCUGGUAAAUCAUCGCCGAACAGUUUUGAUUAGGGUAUUUAAGUAGUAGUCAAUGCAAAAGCGACCUGGUUUCUUUGAAGCAGAAAGUGUGAUGGCGUGAGCCAGAGAACGGACCGAGAGGUAGUUCGAAGGUGCCUUCUGUCGCGCACUGUGGAAAGGAAGACGCUUUACGAAUCACUGUCCAACACGGCCAGUGACCGGGUUCCUGGUCCUAGACCCCAUAUUCACCACCACAGUCGCAGACGAGGUAGGGAUACGUCCCUACCACCAAAUAAAUACUUGAACAACUGUUAACAAUGGAUAUCUUGGUUCUC
rnacentral:misc_RNA from 1 species